ACCGCGUGACGGUCACAGCGCUACGGGCGCGGAGAGCAAUGCCUCGCCGCACGGAGUAACGGGAUGGCGGGCCGACGUGUCCUAGGUAACCCUGGGAAAAAUAGUAAGUGGCAAGGUGGCAUUAAGGUGGCAACUAGGUGGCGAGGUGGGCGAAGUGGCAUGUAAGGGGCAAGGAAGUGGCAACGAGGUGGAAUGCGGCCAAGUGGCAUAGAGGUGGCAAGCAGGUGGACCUGGGUGGCAUCAAAGUGGCAUCGAGGAGCCAGCCCCAGGUGGAUGUUAAGGGGCAUCUAGGUGGUAUUGUAAGUGGCAAAUAGGAGGUUAGGUGGAAAGUAACUUAGAAUAAGUGGCGAGCCGUCCUGCCAAACGCGGUCAAUUGGCAUGCAGAAAUCCAAAAAAAUCAAAAAAAAAUCAAACAAAACAGCAGGAGAGAAAUUAUGAGAAGAACUAUUGUGUAUAUAGAAUAUGUAUAACUAUAUUUAAAAAAAAAGUUCAUUUUUAUAGUUUUAAAUAUAUUAGCCAUAAACCAUGUUUAUGUUUUGCUUUCAGCCCUGUAAUAAUUUUAGUCUUUGCAUUGUUAUUAUGUUUUGUUUUAAAAUGUUACUGCAUUUGGUUGGUUUCUCUAAAUGUUAGCCGUUCUGAGAUCUUUUACCUUGGCAAAGCCGCUAACUUUUACGGAACUUAGUGGUGUUAAAAUUGAGCUACUUUUGCAUUGCUCACAGACAUAUAAACGGUUUUGCAUGAAUUCUUAUAGUAAAAGAUUGUUCUCUAUUUGUCUUUAUCUUCACCAAAGAAACAUUUCAUGAUACUUAUGUGUAAAUUAGUAAAAAUCCUAUUGUUUCAUGAUAGAUAUUUUGAGUCGGAUAAGUUUUUAGAUUAGCCGCUGUAAUAAAUUAGAAGGCAGCUAGAAUAUGCUGCAAGCUUUAAAAGCAAUCGGUCAGAUCAAGGAGACUGGAUUUAAAGAAAAUGGUUGACAGAGUGAGCUCUUAUUUGUUUCAUUUUAUAAUGUCUCCUGAAACUGAAAACUUACUGAGUUGAUAGAUCAUAUUUGAAGCUUGCAAUAUACUGUUGCUACCUUCUUAUAUUUCAGUUUCUGAUCUAAUACCUCAAUAUAUACAAAAGUAUUAUGAAAUGAUACGUGGGUCAGAUAAAGACAGAGAGGAAACAAUGCUUUACUAUUGGAAUUCAUGCAAAACCAUUUACAGAUCCAGGAACAAUACAAAGUGUAACAUAUUUAACAUCACCAAGUUCCGUAAAAGCCAGCGGCUUUGGCAAGGUAAUGGAUUCUUGAACGGUUACUACUAAGAGAUAUGACACUCUAUGACAUGCCAACUAAAUACUGAGACAUUUACAACUGGAGUAUAAUAAAUUUAGGACUCAAACAUAUAAGGGUAGAGAGGAAUUACAAGUCAACAAGUCAAAUAGUCAACAACUCACUUGUCUACUUUGGCCUGUGGGCUUGGGGAUUGUGGCAUAUUAUGGGCUAGUCCCAAGUUAAAAAUAUGGUGUGAAAAUAAUGCAUAAUGCAUAAACAUAGCGGCACCACACUAACAUUUCAGUUGACGCCUCCUGAACGUUUGAUCAUAAUCAACUUCAAAAUCUAUUAUCUGAAUUUCAAAUUUGGCACAGAAUUAGUGCUACCAACAGAUAUACUUAAAAUUUUAACUUCAACUUUCCAGUAAAAGUUUAAAGUAACAAACAUAGUGAAUUUAUUCACUUAUUUCCGGGAAAAACAACUUGAACUUUCGUCUUCCAUCUGAGGUUUUCUGUAGACUGAAUUGACAAUUAAAGUAUUGAAGGUAGAAGGGUGGCUGUUUUGCGGUGUUCGUCAACUGUUGAUGUCAACAUAACCUCUAAAGGUAACACGAGUUAGUUUGAGCCGGUUUGUGGGCCUAGACUGUAUGUGUGUCAAUUUUUAAACUUUUCAAUGUAUUCAUGUGAGAAACUACUGAUUAAUCAGUGUGGAGUCGUUAGCAUAAGUGACGGAGUGCGAAAUGCAGUUAAAAUGUAGACGAUUUGUGGACUUUUUAAUCUCAUGAUCGUGCGACCCUGGUAUUUGUUUAUACAUUAACUCUUGUGGAAAUCUCCCUGAUUUAUUCCUAUUGAGAAAUAAAUGUGGACUAGUUAAUGCCAGGACUAAACUGGAGGUGAACAUGCUAUUAUUGCCAUGUACUAAAGUAUCACUUACCCACCAAAACAAUCUAUUGGAGAAUACUUUUCACAGGAUUUGAGCAAUACUGCAGUGUUUCAAAGAAGUUAAUGAGAAGAGUGUGCGCAAGUCUAUUUUCUACAGUUCUUGGCAAACGCAAUUGUGCUAUUGCAUCAUUAGAAAAAUAAAUAUUGUUUACCGAA